rnacentral:piRNA from 1 species
UUAAAUAAGUUGCCAUGGCUUGAUUA